UGUCAGAAAUGGGAUUCAAAUCCACACCUACAAGAGUAGAUUGCAACCUGAGCGCAGCGCCUUAGACCGCUCGGGUCAUCCUGAC